rnacentral:rRNA from 1 species
UGUGCCAGCAGCCGCGGUAAUACGUAGGGUGCGAGCGUUGUCCGGAAUUACUGGGCGUAAAGAGCUCGUAGGUGGUUUGUCGCGUCGUCUGUGAAAUUCUGGGGCUUAACUCCGGGCGUGCAGGCGAUACGGGCAUAACUUGAGUGCUGUAGGGGUAACUGGAAUUCCUGGUGUAGCGGUGAAAUGCGCAGAUAUCAGGAGGAACACCGAUGGCGAAGGCAGGUUACUGGGCAGUUACUGACGCUGAGGAGCGAAAGCAUGGGUAGCGAACAGGAUUAGAUACCCUG